CAUAAAUGCUACUUCCUAUUUUUUUUACUUUCACUGCUUACUUUCUUAUAUAUACUAAUUUGCCUAUUUACAUUGAUAUGCAAAAAUGAGCUGAAGACUAGCAUUAAAUAUUCCUGAGAAAAUAUUUAUUUCUUUAUCAUCAGGUUGUGUAAUAUUGUGUAAUUGGCUUAUCUUUCCUGUGUCUCAGUAUAACAGCCUUGGAGAUGUGCCCAUCAGAUCUCACUUUACUGGGUCCUCCUUCCCUGCCAGUCAGUGACUGAGCCAGUUUCCAAACUCUUGUAUCACUUCUUGUUUUCUUGGACCACUUGAAGUGGUCCAAGCUCUGUAGGGAGGGUUGAGUUCCUGGACAUUGAACUUGUGCAUUUGCAAAGGGGCCCACAUUUGAUAAAAUGUUCUGCUCUCAACCUCUUAAAAUUAUUAUUAUUAUUAUUUUUUUUUUUUUUUGAGAUGGAGUUUCACACUGUCACCCGGGCUGGAGUUGUGCAAUCUCAGCUCACUGCAACCUCCGCCUCCUGGGUUCAAGCAAUUCUCCUGCCUCAGCCUCCCUAGUAGCUGGGAUUACAGGUGCCCACUACCACGCCCAGGUAUUUUUUUGUAUUUUUAGUAGAGGCGGUGUUUCACCAUGUUGGCCAGGCUGGUCUCGAACUCCUGACCUUGUGAUCGGCCCACCUCAGCCCCCAAAGUACUGGGAUUACAGGCGCGAGCCACCGCACCCAGCCUUAAAAUUCUUAAUAAUUAUAUCGUUGAACUUAUUUAUGUUGGGUAAGCGAAGGCCUAUGGGAUAAUGAAGCAUGCAUGUCCCCUCCUUAAGGGAUCCUAUUAUAUCCUUUCUUAUGCAUGUUACUUUCCUGUAUUAAUCAAACCUUUAAAGUUAAAAGUAUAAAAGAAGGCAAAGGAAAGAUAGGGCAAAUCAUAGCUCCUGUUUUUAUUGCUUCUUUCUUGUAAAUGAAAAAACAUUCUGGUAGAACAUGCAGGUAUCAAGAAGUGAAAUAAAAAGUGAAAUUGGUUUUGUGCAGUGCUUCCACUCUUCUGGGAACAAAUUGUAUAUACAUAUGCAAGCUACAAAAAUAGGAAUUGUGUAAUUGCAGUGAUUUUGUAUACAAAUUAUGAGCUCUUACAUUAUGUUUGAAACUGGCACUGCACCAAAUAAAUAUGAAUGGUAAUGCUAACUAUUUAAAUUUUAUUUUUUCCAUAAGUAGAACCACAUUAAAUAGCAAAUUAAGCAAAAUAAAGAAACCUUUAUAGCAUGUUGAGAGAGGAUGUGGGAGAAAAAAAUGCUUUAUAUAUUAGUUUGUUUAAUGGCUCAUUUUUCUUAAACAAGGGACCCCACAUUUUGAUCUUGCAAUGGACCCUACAUAUUAUAGAGGUGGUUUUGUUUACAUAUUUAGAUGUGCUGGCCCCCAAAGGGAGAACACUCCUAUAAGAGGAUACAACAAAGCUUCCGUUGGGCUACAUGGUAUGGCAGCAACAAAGGAACUUUGAAUUACUGACAUCCAGUGAUCAUCAGAUAUAUGCAAAGUAAAGAACAUGUUUAAACUGCUCCCUGCCAGCUGGCUGCGUUCACUCCUGACCCAGUAAUCUGUGACUUUCUGGACUCCUGUGAGAGAAAAGUUUCAGCCAAGAUGAUAUCCACAGAAAGAAUAAUUUGAUAUAUUGCUUUUUAUGUUUCUCUGACAGUACAAUAGCUUGUAACUUUCUUUCACUGCCAUAAAGGGAAAUAAUAUAGAGAGAGCAUAUAUACACAUACAUAUAUAGUGUGUUAAAUCAUUUAUUGAGAAAACAAUCUUUUGAAUACUUCUAUGUCAGAAAU
rnacentral:lncRNA from 1 species